UGUUUAUGUGUGUGUAUAUAUAUGUAUGUGUAUACACACACACACACACACACACACACACAUGCACACACACACUCACAGACAUA
rnacentral:miRNA from 1 species